UUGGUGAACACAGGAAAGGAGAGGGCAAAAGUCAGCCUUCUUUUUACAUGGGCGGAAGGCAAUGUUGCCAACCAGAGGGAACAUCUAAUUCUUCUCCUUGCCAAUAUUCACAUUCAGAAAGCUAAUAAGCAGUCUGUCUUGAAUAGUUAUACACAGUAUAUCCCUUUGCCAAUCAGUGACCUUGAUUCUUGGUUGAAGACACCCUCC